GACGAACGCUGGCGGCGUGCUUAACACAUGCAAGUCGAACGGAAAGGCCCUGCUUUUGUGGGGUGCUCGAGUGGCGAACGGGUGAGUAACACGUGAGUAAUCUGCCCUUGACUUUGGGAUAACUUCAGGAAACUGGGGCUAAUACCGGAUAGGAGCUCCUGCUGCAUGGUGGGGGUUGGAAAGUUUCGGCGGUUGGGGAUGGACUCGCGGCUUAUCAGCUUGUUGGUGGGGUAGUGGCUUACCAAGGCUUUGACGGGUAGCCGGCCUGAGAGGGUGACCGGCCACAUUGGGACUGAGAUACGGCCCAGACUCCUACGGGAGGCAGCAGUGGGGAAUAUUGCACAAUGGGCGGAAGCCUGAUGCAGCAACGCCGCGUGCGGGAUGACGGCCUUCGGGUUGUAAACCGCUUUCGCCUGUGACGAAGCGUGAGUGACGGUAAUAGGUAAAGAAGCACCGGCUAACUACGUG
rnacentral:rRNA from 1 species